rnacentral:lncRNA from 1 species
GUUGACCAAAAUAAUUGGACACUGUUUGAACAAACCAUUGGGGAAUGAUCGUGUAUAAAUAGAUCCUUCGUAAAUGGUUACUCACACAUUCAUAUUCAUUCAAUCAUUGAAAAAAUGGCCUCAAUCUUAAAAGGAGGAAGACUUACCUUGGCUCUUAUCAUCCUCAUCGUCAUUAGUUCAUCAUCUCACAUCAUUACAACCACCGCCACUGCUCGGACUCCAUACAACCAUGAACGCCAACUAGGUUCGGUUUUCUCUAAACAUCUCAUAGUUAAUAAUAAAAAAAACGCUAAUAGAAGCUGCUCCGGUAUUUCUUAUAAAUUAACUAAGGUUGCAUUGUAAAUACGUGUAGUUAAUUUUUUUUUUCUUUUAAAUAAGAAAACAGUUUCAUUUUAUCUUACUUUCGGAGUUGUAGGGUUAUAUUCUUAUGAUUUUGUUUUCUAUAUUUAUUUCAUUCGUGUAAUUACUAUCAAUAGUCAAUAGCUAAUUUGUUUUCCAUUCAUCACCGGUUUUCCAGAUUUUCUGAUCAAACUAACCUUAAUUAUAAUAUAUAAGAGGCAUAUACAACUUGUCCAUCCCUAAAGAUUAAAAAUAUUAGAAAUUGAUGUAUGCAGCUACAAAUUGCGAUUAUGACCCCAUACAACAAAAUGAUGGACCCGACGGGUGUGGAAGUGGAAGUGGAAGUGGAAGUGGUGGAUCACCAAAACCAAAACCAAUACCAUGCGGUUCAAUGCCAGGUAAGAGCCUUUGUAGGAAGGGUUGCUGUGGAAAGACUAAAAUGGGAAGGGCCGAAUGUUGCUAGUAGUACCGGAGGUUGUACUACAUCAAAUAAUGUAUCUGAAUCCAUUGUCUAGAUCAGAAAAUAAUAUUUCAAAUCAUUUCCACCCUUUUUGACUGCUUUUACCUAAAGUCGUAUAUGUAUGAGUAUGUCCACAAUAAUUUUAUAUACAGAUGUUGUUCGAAAUGCUGUUUUAAUCUCGAGGAAAAGAUUCUAUCAUUAUAUUUGUCAAGAUGGUUCACAAGUUUAGUAGAAGAAAAAAAAAAUCAAACAUUGGCACAUGGCUGGCUAUCAACUUUCACAAGCGGCAUGAGCUUCAUCCACAUAACUUUGUACCACAUGGAGUGUGUACCAUAUCGAUGGUCACUUCUUUGUGUUGUGUUUUAGAUCCCAUAAUGUUGGUUAAUUUUAAUUUUGAUUCAAAAUGGAAAUAUAGGAUGUGUGUAUAGUAAGGCCAAUAUUUUAAGACUCUGACUAAGCCUUAAAGGUCUCAGGUCUGCAACACCGAUGAGCCUCUCUCUCUUUCUCUCUCUCUCUCUCUCUCUCUCUCUCUCGCUCUCUCUCUCUCUCUCUCUCUCUCAUGUGUAGAGUACUCAGUAUUUAGUGUGACAGUGGUUUUGGUUGAGGUGGAAGAAACCCACGCCCUUUUCACGUGGGAAGUAUCCAAAGUGCUACGUCAACAUGUCAUGCAACUACGGUUGACCGGUUAGAUGGUCAGAAUUACAAUAAAUUAGUAAAAAAAGUGUCCAAUUUGAAAAAAAAAUCUUUGUCAAAAUCAGAUUUUUAUGAAAACUUAAUUAUGAUAAUUUGCAAUUUUUAAAAUUUUAAGAACCUAAACAUAAAUAUCAAGGGUUGCGUAGAACCAUAUUUAUGAUGUAAACCAAAAAGUUGACUUAAUGUCGAUUUUACUUGACUUGAUGUCUAUUUGACAGAGUAAUUAAAGUUGUAGUGCAACAUAAACCAAGCACACUAAUAGAAACAUGUGCUCAAAAUACACAUCGUUUAAAGUUUACGCAAAAUCAAAUGAGCCCCAAACUGAGGUAGAAGAUUGACAAUGGUAUGUGGAGCAUGUGAAUGAUGGAGAGAGAUCAAAGCAAAAAUGUUGCGGAAUCAUGACAAGUGCCAUUUUGGCUUCUAACAAGGCAAAAUUCAGUCCAACAAAUAUACGUGGACCACCACCAAAAGGGAGAUAUGAUGUUUGUCCCUUGGUCACCUUCGAGACACCUUCAGAAAAUCUUUCAGGCUUGAACUCGCUCACAUCAUCACCCCAUAUAUCACGAUCAUGGUGCAUAAGCAUAAUCUGCAAUUGGUGGAAAGUUCCAUCUGGUAAUUUUAUGUCCCCUAAUUUGGUUUCCUUAUGUGUCAUUCGUCUUACUGCCGGUGAGUAUAGUCUAAGAACCUCAUGCGGAAUCAUGCUAACCUGGAAAACAUAAUUGGAGAGAAACGAAUAUAUAGCAUCAUAGGAGGAUUGUCACAACUAGGAAUUCUAAUGUUUUUGUAAACAUUAACAAUGAUGACAUUUGUGACUAAAACUUGAAAACAUGCAUGAUUUUUAUUCAAUGACAACAAAAUUCCAUCAAACACUCUAUGCAAACACUUCAAAUGGUCAACAAAAGAUUGGAAACCCCAAAAAUCCCGGUUUAAGUCCACUAUGGACUAGGAUUUCCUUAUUGGGCCUAAUGGACCAAUAACCUUCCAAUUUGACUAUUUUGGGCUUAGGACCCUUAAAUAGGCCCUAAUUGGACCCACUUUCAUGAAACUUAACAUUUUAGGCCAUAAUGAAUCCACAAUGAAUUGGUUUGCCUUAAUGGGCCUUAUUGGGCUAUAACUAACCUAAUUAGCUUUCAUGAACCAUAAAUCCAUUCGUUUAUACAAAAUUGGGUCGUGAACUACAAUAAAGGCCCAAUGGGCCGAAAAUCUUGUCCAUAAACAUUAUAAUCUCAAACCAAGGAUUUAAGUGGGCCAAACUAAUUCAUUCCCUCCUUCCUUUGUUAGCCCAUUUCGGCCCAAGUAAGAAAAAAAAAAGAAUGAAAGAUUUAUCCAUGCCACCUCAUUUUUACAAGAAGGAUAACCAAGCAUUAUACUCAACAUAUAUCCAUGCAACUUCGCAUGUCUCCAUGCAACUAUCACUUCACUUCUUUCUCUCCUCUCUCUCUUUCUUCUUAUCUUCGGCCGAGGCUACCCAUACACACAUCACCUUUGCAAAUUACUUCAAACUCUCUCAAUAACAUCUUCAUGCUUCCUCCAAAUUUUCGAGAAUCAUAAGGGCUUCAAGAAGAAUUUCAUCCAAAAAUCACUUCCAACUAUAUACUAGUGGUAAGAUCUUGCAAACACGUUUUCCUUCUACACUUAAUCACUUUUCUUACAACCUUAAAUUCUUGAUCAUACUCCAUAGAACCCUUCAAAUUCGAGGACACUUCAAGGAGCUUGUUAGGGCCAAAAACAACACCAUCUUCUUCCAUUUGUUCUUCAAAACCAUCAGCAACCAAGCUAGGUGAGUUCAUACCCCCUUGUUUUCGGUUUUUACUUGUUUUUUUUUUUUUUGGGGGGGGGGGAGAAUACAAGUGUUAUGUGUUGAUCUAUGUGUGUUUGCAUGUAUUAUGUGAUUUCUUUGGUUUUUGGUUGUGAUAAUAUGUUAAUACUUGAGAUAUUUCGAGAUCUAUAGCAAAAGGGUGAAAGAAUCAUAAACAAAAACAUAAUAAACAACAUACAUCACAGAUCUAAGGGUCCUUAAGUUUAAUAAGUAAAAAACAAAGCCAAAGAUCUUUACAAGUGUCAUUUUGCAAAAAUAACAAAGAUUGGGUAAAAAUUGAAAAUUUUCGGUUUUAUCAGGGUUAUAAGGUAUUUAUUUAUAUAAAAGCUGAUUUUUAUGAAAAUAAUACUUUUUAAAGGGUCAAAAACAUAAAUUUUAGCUUAAUGGGCUUAAAUUUGGGCCUCACGAGUUUUGGGCCCAAAGUUGCGAAAAAUGAAGAAUUUGAGCGGCUGAAAGGGAUAUCUUAACAAACUAUGAGUCUAAAACGUAAAUAAACUAUUUCAGGGGCUGAAAAUGAUUUGAUGCAAAAAUUGGACUAAAAAUGCAUAGUUUUUUAUUUUUGGGUCAAAAUUGUAAAACUUAUAAAAUUUGAGCCAAAAACGUAAAAUUUUUACAAAUAAACGUUGGAAAUGAAAAAUACAAUAUUUUUGGGUUGAAAUUAUUAUUUAAAUAAAGUUUGGGUCAAAAAUGUCAAGAAAAAAUGGUUUAAGGACCAAAAAUGUCAAUUUUGAAAAAAAAAAGAGAGAGACUAAAAGUGCCAUUUUUAUAGAAAAAGAGGCUGCAAUUGUCAAACUAAAUGUUUUUGUGCCAAAUAGACAAUUAUAAAAUUUAGGGUUAAAAAUAUCAAGUUUAUAACGCAUNCGAAUAGUUUUUCAGAAAUUAGUUUGUAGAGAUGAUUAGUUCUUUUAUGCAAAUUGACUACUACACCAAAUAAAUAGUGUGUGUGUUAAAAACUCAAUUCAAGGUAAUCUUAAAAACUUUCAUACUCAACGCACAUGGCUAUAUAUUCAAUGUACAUUAACAUUAACUCAAUCCAUUCAAUUUAGACUCAUCCACAACGUUACAAUGUUAUAUAAUACCUUUAAUAGCAAUAAAACUAUAAGUCGGCGAAUAGUUUAUUUCGGAAAUUAGCUUCUUUUCGGGAGACACUGAUUAGUUACAAUUUAACGGUUAGUUUGGUAUAAAAAACAUAUCAAAUUAUGAAUAAGACACAAUAUAUUGUAAAUUAGAGUUUAGAAUUUAGUGUUUAAUGCCGAGGGGAGGGGGUUCACUUAAUAAAUAUAAGUAUGCUAUAGUUUUAGUUUUAGAAUAUAAUAUGUUACUUUGGGUUAAAAAUAAAAGUAACAACCGUUAACAUAAAUAACUACAUUGGUGUUAUGGUUUACAAAUGAAUCUUAUGUUACUAUUUAUUAAAAUGAAAAUGUUUGUUGUUAUUUUAGGUUUAAGAAAGUUUGGAAGUAAAGACAUAAAAAUAUGAUUAUGUUUUACUUUAAAUGUGACAUAUAUUUUUUGGGGUUAAAGAUAAAAAUACCUUAUAUUUUUUGUAUAAAAACAUGUUUAUAUCCCUUUUUGUUAAAAAGAUAUACGUUUAAACAGUUUAUUUACUUUAAUUUAUUUUUUUAAUAAAUAAGUUAUUUAGUGAAAUAAUUUAAUAUAAUUUAUAAAAAAAAAAAGUCUUAAAAUCAUAUGUAUACAAUUGAUAAUUUAUUAUUGACAGUUUUUAAAUCUUUUUUAAUUAUGUUUUAUUUAAAGCAAUUAAAAAAACUAAAAUUGCUUAUUUGCAAAUAUAACGAAAUUAAUAUAAUGGGCUUGAAUUCUUUUGGAGACAAUGGUCUACACCUUUUUUUAUUAUCACAAAUUAAGAAAGAAAUUUAACACGGCACAUUGCAAUUGACUAUCAGACUAUGUGCACCCUAAAUGAAAAAUAAAUAUUAAAAUAAAUUUUAUCAAAAACCAAAAAAAAUUAUUGUCUUCAUAAUUAAACAAACACACAAGUUAACUUCUAAACAGUUAUCAAAACAGAAAAAAAGUCUUUAUUUCUCUUUUUGCUACCUAUUUGUUGCACAUAAAACCAAACCAUUUCCUUGCAAUUACUAAAAAGGAAAUGAGGAUGUAGUUUACAAAGUUGGCUAAUUCAUAAAGGAAACCGAAUCACAUUAUGAAAACACAAAAACCUAUCACACCAUGUUUUGUUCCAUCUACAUCUUUUUGCAUGUCCUGUCUUCCCUUCAGCAUUUGCUACUCCAUUUGGUAUUUUUACAACUGCAACAUAUUCAAAAUGAAAACAAAACCCCUCAAAUUUACCAUUGAUAAAGAUACUAAGACUCCAUUCCACUUAUAUUGAAAGUUUUUUAGUGAAUAAUGGGAUAAUUGUUUUCAUACUUAACAUAUAAAUCAACUAUCAACAAAAAAACUAAAUAUGUAGGUACCGGGAUAAUAAAUCGAUGAAGAGGACGGUAAUGUCCAGAUCUGUACAACCAAUAGAAAACCCAAAUCAAUUAUUAACAACAAAAAAAUCGAUUAUAUCCUCUGUGUAUCUGCCAAGAGCGGUUCCAUCAGGGGCGUUUUUGUCUAACUAAGACCAAAAAGAGCAAAAUCUCUAUCCAACCCCACAUUGUUAUUUCUAUAUCAAGGGUGAGAGAAACAAAGCACCAAAAGGGAGCCAAACCAAAUAGAAGCAAUAGUCGCAACAACUAACAAUCAGAAAAAGACAAACAACCAAACAUCGGUGGAACGCCAAAGAAUAAAGGAAACAUGAACAUAAACAACACCGCCACCAGAAAGAGAAAGAGAAAGUCACGACAUCACCAACACACCACAUCACAGCAGACAGACCAAGCAAACAGACCAGAACGACCUUGGGGAAGAAAAGUCCAAUACGAAACCAAAAAGCCAGAAUGCAAGAAAAGCACCACCAUAAAAGCCUAUUGGGAGAUAUCGAUCAGGACAAGCUGUGGGAUAAAAUGACGCCUACUAAAAGUUGUAAUGAACCAUAACCAAAGAAACAAACAAGGGCAAAAUCAAUAAACUGCAACAUGCACCUCUCCAAACAACUUGAAAAACACCAAACCACUAUACAUUAGAUCUGCAAAACAACCGAAAGUAGAAGAAAAAAACACGCACACACCAAGACCACCCCCCCCCCCUAAAAAAAACGACCCAUGAAGAAAAAAACAUACAUGAAGAAAUAUCAAGAUGCAACAAAAAAACCAACAAAAAGUCUACCCUAAGCCGAUAUGACACUAGGUGGAUCUUUGAAAAGUUAGUGUCAUAAUAAUUAUAAAAAAAAUGCAAAAAAGACUAAAUUAAAGAAGGCUUUAUCCACUUCGUUAUCUAUUUCUUAGUGAAUUACCAAAACCUCAUCCUAUCUUUAUUACAAAUUAAAGAUCUCAGGCUCUUAGUGUGGAUAUAUCAAUGAAACAGAGAACCUAAAAUAGGAAGCAAAUGUAGAUUAAUUUUUUUAUGCAAUCCUAUAUUCUACAGAAGAUUUUAACUAAUUUAUAUUAUUGUAAAUGCAUCAUUAAAAUUAUACUGAACUUUUAAUAAUUAUUAAUUUGCACUUCAUACAUGAAAUAAUACCAAUUACAUAUAUAUAUAAACAUAUGAAUAAGGAUGGAGGAGUUACCGGUGGAUAAUGUGAUCCAUAAUUCCAUAUUUGGCUUUCGUUUCUACAAACAUUGAAGAAGUUGUAUCAAAAGAUGAAUUUAAGAUACUAACCGUUCUUGGCUCCCUGUACAAAAAGGAAACGAAAAUGAGUUUAGAAAUCUCAUUAAAUACCUGUAAUUUACUUAUUUAUUCAAAUAGAUAACUUGAAAAGUCAUUAUAAUGACAAAGUCACUAUAAACUCCUAUUUAAACUCCUAUUUAAACAAAGUCACUAUAAUCUCUCGUUUACUAUUUCAAUUUCAAGAUAAUGACAAAGUCACUAUAAACUCCUAUUUAAACAUAUCUAAACCGACCUUAACUAAGAGUAUGACGAAAAUGCCCCUGUUAAGCACCUUAACUACAAAUACUACACCUUUCACAUGUCUGUCAGAUCACAGGCUCCCAAUCUUAUUUCCUUAACUAUCUCACGCCAUGUGUAUCUCUAUUCACCAUAAUGCUAACAUAAACCAUUGACCAAAAUUAGAAAAAAAAUAAUUAUUUUGAUUUUUUAAGAAUAUUUGAACCAGCCUCUUCUCGUUGAAAAACAUAACACAAAAAAUCACUGAACUAAAAAAGACAUGGUCAAAGUAAAUACAAGUGACAUUAGGAAAGUCCAAGGCUACUGAAACUAUUUUUAAUAAGCAACUCACACAUAUUCAAGAUGGAUUGCAGAUAACAUGUUAUUUAUUGUCCAUCAAACAUUGUUAAAAUCACGUCGCUCCUAAAUCGUGAAAUGCGCUUACCACAGUUGCUUCUGACAGCACAAUUGAUUAAUCUACGAGUCGUCAAAUUGCCUAAGGACAAUAAAUAACAUGAUUAAAUGCAUAAUCCAAUUAAUCGAGUGAAUUGCACAAAGAUAAACGAAGAGCAACCUCGAGAGAACCUGUAAUGGUGAUGAAUGGGGAAGAAGGGGGAGACGGGGGAGAAGAAGGCGAUAGAGUAGCCAUUCCUGUGUUUGCUAUUUCUAGUAUUUUAACUCCUUGUUGGGUUAAGGAAUCAGAAAAAGGGUUAUAUAAUAAACCAUACAAACGUGUAAACUCGGAUAAAGGUCGAAUACUCACAGAUCAAGUAUUGCAUCCUUGUUUUCUUCACCGUUAAUGACCUCGAUUGCUUCAAGCCUGACGAUCGGAGCAACCUGAUCCCCGGUGUCUUCGUCGUCAGCAGCGGCUUCCUCCUCCUCUCUGUGUUCGGGAUCAUUGAUAGCCAUUAUAGUCACGGAUCAAAGAUGCUGAGACCUGAGAGCGUCUGUUAGGGUGAAAAUCGAAGGCGGCGGUGUCUUCGUCGUCAGCAGCAGCGACUUCCUCCUCCUCUCUGUGUUCGGGAUCAUUGAUAGCCAUUAGUUGAGGAUCGAAGAUGAUGAGUAGCAUUAGUCUCCAUUACAGAUCUAAAAAAUCAGAGGUUUGAUUGAUCUGUUCAUCACCGCCUCCGUAUGAAGUUAGGAAAGGGGCAUCUUUGGUGGUGUCGAUGUGAAUACAUUAGAUGGCAGUGUGUUUAGGGAUUCCUUGUAUUAGGGUGUAGUAUAUGAUCCGUGCAGCGUAUAGAAUAAUACGUAUAAUGCUUUAAUAUAUUGUAAAUGAGGUAAUAUAUGUUGUACCUCUUAAUUUUCAAGAAAUGGGCAAUAUCCUUAAUAAUAUAUAUAUAUAUAUAACUAAAGCUUCGUUAUAAAUGAAACGUUAAGAUACUUUUAACAUUGCGAAAAACAUUUAGCAUACAACAAAUACCAAUACUACGAACAUAAAGUCGAUAAACCAUAAAUGAUUCAAUGACUGGGCCCAAAAUCUUCUGCUCGUGCUAUUUGGUCUUUGUGGCCCAAUAUCAUGAUUAUUGGGCCCAAUGUAUUCAAACAUGUUUAUUGGGUCUUGUUGAUCCAAUUACAUGCCUAAUGGACCCUCAAUGGCUUUUACAUGCUAUUGGGCCUUAGUGGCCCAUUUGCAUUUGCUAGUAAGGUCCAAAUCAGUCAUAGGCGUGAUUGGCUAACAUGUCCGCCGUAUACUCGACACCCUAUAAUAACAUACAUGAUUAGUAGGUCUCUGCAGCCCUCUUCUCUUCGUCUAUUAGACUUACCUUUUAUUCAAGUAAACAUAAAUCAAGUUCUAAACAAGGUUAUUCAAUAUCAGUUGGAUUUAGUGGGAAAUAACGGGUGACACCAAUAAAUAUCGGUCGUAGUCUGUAGUUAUAACCAAAGUCUCUUGGAGGGAGAGCGAGAGUUUGUGUAUAGGUCUAUACGGGUGUGACUCCCCCACACCUAAGUUGUUCGCUACAGUUAGACUUGGCCAGUCUAGGGUGACAAAAUCUUGAUCAAAACCGGAGUUUGGAAAAAUGUCAAGACAGGCGAAUUAGUCAUUAUUAUGCAUGGUUAUAAAGACUCACAUAGAGAUCUAACACCAUCUAAGUAAUCAUGGGAAAACAUAUUCAUUCGUUGUGACGAUUUAAUAAUACAAAACUGUCAUACUACUUAUAUCAGAAAACAUCGGGUUUUCCGGGGGAACAACAUUAUUCACUCCUACAUACAACACUAUAAUACAAUAAUCAAUAAUAAUCACUUUUACUUGUUUUGAAAUCACAUACAUAUGCACUCAUGGGAUCAUCGCAUCUUUUUUGCAAACAGUUUUUGUACAGAAAAUAUCAGAUUUUCUGGGUUUUACAAACAAUACAAACUAAUUUUAUGCUUAUGAACUCACCAACAUUAUAUAUGUUGACGUUUUUAAAACAACUUGUAUUCUCAGAUAACAGAUAAGCUGAAGAAAGUUAUCAAGUGUGUUAGGAUGUUAUGUUUUGUGACUCUCAAACAAUUUAUGUUAUGGAUAUGUAAUAUUUAAAUAAUGUACUUGAUGUGAAGAAUGACAGUUGUACUAUGUAAUGUUGGUGAUGUAUGUGUUUGUUCAUGUAUAUUCACUGUGAUGGUAUUCAAUUGCUAGUCACACGAGCCCUCGGACGUUUUCGCCGUCUGGUUCGGGGGUGUGACAGGUUGAUAUCAGAGCCAGGUGUAUAGUGAACUCGCAUAUCUAACCACACAUUGAUAUGCAACUAUAAACCCAAAGAGGGACUAAACAACUCUGAACAAAACAAAUAAAUUAUAAUAAUAAACACUCUUACUUGUGCGACUUAGGAAAAUAAACAUAAUAACAAAUCAAAUAAAAUGAUUUGAAAAUCCUGACAUAUCGGUUAAGCCAGGACUGUUCAUAGUUGUAUUAAGGGGCGAAUGUAGCCUGGUCAACUACAUUUCCUCCAGAAUACAACUAUCACAUGCCCUGGGGCGAUCACGAUGGUCGGUAAACCUAAAACAUACCCUUUUAUUAACCAAGAAGAGAACAUCAACUUAAUUUAUAUGACAACUAAAACAUCUUAGGGGUAAUAAUAGUUUAUUUAUAUACCCUCCUUGUGUAUUCCUCAUCAUAGUCACUAUGGAAGACGAGCAUCAAGGCAUUCAGUUUCACCAGGCCUUGGUGGCCCACGGAAUGAUUGAAGACGACCCCGAGGAAGGACAAGGAGCAGCUCAUGACAUUGGACCCGACGAGUACACCGAUACAGAUUACGAGUAUGAGGGGACCGAUGACGACAAGGAAGAAGAAGGAGACACAGACGAAGCCUACGUUGAAUCACCUACCGACAAAAUGGACCAGGACCAUCCUGACCCACCAGGAAACCCCGUGGGAGAGGAUCGUUCGCUAGAAGAAGAGGUUACCACACGUCGACAACAGUUGUUUGCCAUGGAAGCAAGAGCCGUGCAAGCUGAGCAAGAACGAGAUGAAGUCAUCGGAGAGAUAACCGAGAUGGCUCAGUUGUUGGCACAACAUUUUGGGAUAUGAUAUCGUUCCCACCAUUAGGAGAUUUACAGCAUGAUCAGGAUCUGCAGUAUGUCUAUUGGUAUUAGGAAUCUCUUAUAUGAUCUAUGCUAGGUACCAUUGACUCUAUGUUUAAGUGAUUACACUACUCAUAGAGUCGUUAUGCUGCCGAACUUUGUACCCUUUAUGUAUGCUCUUUCGAGCAAAUUUUCAUGUAUCAAAGUAUGGAUAUUAUUAGUGGAAAAUAAUAUGUGUUCUAACGUGAUGUUGUUAUCUGCUAUGUGCUAUAUUUCCAUGUUGUAUGUCAAUAUGUGAAACUACUUAAUUAUAUGCAAUACACCUAGUUUAUAGGAUCACAAACUCGCAAAAAAAAAUUAUAGGCACUCAACAUCUUUUUGUUCCAUGACAGAAGGAUGCCUCAACGACCCACCCGUGGAAACCCCGAGCCGACACCACCAUAAAUCAACUCAGUUGCAUUUCAAGCAGUUGUAUCUGCUACAGUCACAGCGGCAUUGGCACGUAUCCACAAUGGGAACAAUGGUGGAGGCGAAGGACAAGGGGCUGGAAGCUCAAACAACGGAAUGAACCAGGGGCCUACCAAGACAUGCUCCUACAAAGAUUUCACCAACACCAAGCCACGAACCUUUAAUGGCACAGGGGGAAUGAUAAACUUGAAGAGAUGGAUCGAGAAGGUGGAAUCGGUGUUCGAGAUAUGUGAAUGCCCCGAAGAGGUCAAGGUGAAGUUUGCAGCAUGUAUAUUUUUUGAUCAAGCUCUCACCUGGUGGAAUGGACAUGUGGAGGCCAUGACUCUUCCCGUAGCCAACGCCAUGCCGUGGGCGGAAUUGAAAGAAAUGUUGAUGGUCGAGUACCCGCAUGGCGAAAUUCAGAAAAUGGAACAAGAGUAAUGGAACCUCACAGUCCGAAACUCCGACAUCGGUACUUACAUAUCAAGGUUUAGCAAACUGUCUCUGUUGUGCCCUGGCAUGAUUACCUCGGAAGGAAAGAAAAUCGAACGAUUCAUCUGGGGAUUAACUCCGCCAAUUCAAGGAAAUGUAAUAGCCGCAAAUUUUGAAACCUUUGGCAGCGGCAAGAGGUUGGCCAAGAAGUUGUACGACCACAACAACAAAAGAGGGGAAAAAGCAGAGGAAACUGAAAGCAAGAAGGAGAGUGAUAACAAGAAGGGAAAGAAUAACAAGCGGAAGGGAAGACAAGGCUCAGAGUCGUCAGAGAAACAACAAACAGUGAUAGUUCAUGUUGCAACCACCCAAGUUCCCUCCACGCUACAUGUUCCAACCUCAUCUACCCCAAGUGCCCCUAAGCAGUAUUCCGGAAAUCUCCCAAAGUGCAACAAGUGCAAUUUUCAUCACAAUGGUGAAUGCAGGGAGAUGCAUUGUACCAGUUGCCACCGAAAGGGUCAACGACAAAAUACUGUAGAAACUAUACUCCCCAGAACCAACAACCGGGAAACAACAACAACAACCGCAACAACAACAACAACAACAACAACAACAACAACAACGGCAACAAUACUGGGGAAAGCCACACUUGUUAUGGAUGUGAAAGGACUGGGCAUUUUUGUCGAAACUACCCCACUGUCAACAACCCAAGGAAUGGAGGAGCGGCGAGAGUGCUGACCCUAGGACAAGGAGAAGCGGUUCAGGAUCCCGCUGUAGUCACUGGUACGUUUCUCCUUAACAACACAUAUGCAUGCAUUCUGUUUCAUACCAUGGCAGAGCGAAGUUUUGUGAGUAAUAAAUUCAAAUAUUUGUUAAAACAACAACCCUAGAAGCUUAAUGAAACCUUUACGGUGGAAAUGGCUAAUGGGAAAACAAAAUCAACUGGGGAAAUCUACGUAGGAUGUACCCUGACCUUAAAUCAUCACGCGUUUCAAAUAAGUUUGAUGCCUGUAUCUAUUUGUAGUUUUGAUGUGAUUAUCAGCAUGGAUUGGUUGAACCCCCAUCAUGUCGAAAUUAUGUGUCACGAGAAGGUCGUUCGCCUUCAUCUCCCUAACCAAGAAACCCUAAUUAUAUAUGGAGACAAAUCCAGUAUGAACCUUCGUCUUAUCUCGUGUAUUAAGGCACAUAAGUGUCUACAAAAAAAGGACUUGGCGUUUCUGACUCAUAUCUUCGAUAAAUCCAAGGAUGAGGUUAGUAUUCGAGACAUACCAGUGGCUUGCGAUUUCCCUGGCAUCUUUCCUGAAGACCUUCCGGGGAUACCCCCAGAAAGGCAAAUCGAGUUGCGAAUUGACCUUGUGCCAGGAGCUACACCCAUCGCCAAAUCUCCCUAUAGAUUGGCUCCUGUGGAGAUGCAAGAACUGUCAAGCCAACUCAGCGAACUCUUGAGCAAAGGAUUCAUCCGACCUAGCUUCUCACCUUGGGGAGCUCCAGUCCUUUUUGUUAAAAAGAAGGACGGAUCCUUUAGAAUGUGCAUCAGUUAUAGAGAGCUGAAUAAGCUCACUAUUAAGAAUCGCUACCCACUUCCACGAAUCGAUGAUCUAUUCGACCAGCUUCAAGGAGCAAAUUACUUUUCUAAGACAGAUCUGCGAUCCGGCUAUCACCAACUCAAGGUCCGGGAAGAGGAUAUCCCCAAGACCGCUUUCUGAACUCGCUAUGGACAUUAUGAAUUUGUUGUAUUCGGUCUAACGAAUGCCCCUACCACAUUCAUGGACCUGAUGAAUCGAGUAUGUCGACCAUUCCUCGACAACUUUGUCAUCGUUUUCAUCGAAGAUAUUCUGGUCUAUUCUCGAAGCGAAGAGGAGCAUGGUCGACACCUCCGACAAAUCUUGGAAACCUUGCGAGCCGAAAAGUUAUACGCAAAACUCUCUAAGUGUGAAUUUUAGCUUCGUAGCGUAAAUUUCUUGGGUCAUGUUAUCAUCCAAGAAGGGAUACAUGUGGACUCUUCUAAGAUCAAAGCCAUUGAAGGAUGGGCAGUCCCAACGAAACCCACUGAAAUUCGACAAUUUCCGGGUCUUGCAGGCUACUACAGAAGAUUCAUUCAAAACUUCUCCAGAACGGCCAAGCCACUUACCAUGCUUACACAGAAGGGCGUACCAUUUGAAUGGACCAAAAAGCAGGAGGUUUCCUUCCUAACUCUAAAACGAGCUCUCUGUAGUGCAGUACUAUCAUUACCAGAGGGAACUGAGGACUUCAUAGUUUAUUGUGAUGCUUCGAAUCAGGGUUUAUGUUGUGUACUAAUGCAGCGUGGGAAAGUGAUAACAUAUGCAUCCCGGCAACUAAAGACACAUGAGGUGAAUUAUACCACCCAUGAUCUUGAAUUGGGAGCUGUGGUUUUUGCCUUGAAGAUUUGGAGGCUCUACCUUUAUGGUACAAAGUGCACCAUUUUCACCGGCCACAAGAGCCUCCAACACAUUUUAAAUCAAAAGGAGUUAAACAUGAGGCAACGAAGAUGGGUUGAGCUGCUAAACGAUUAUGAGUGUGAAAUCAAGUACCACCCAGGCAAGGCUAAUGUGGUAGCUGAUGCCUUAAGUCGGAAAGAGCACUCAAAUCGUCGUGUGAAAACUCUUUCAAUAACCAUUCAAUCCCAUCUGUCCUCGCAAAUCAAAGAAGCCUAGUUGGAUGCCAUGAAGACAGAAAACAGAACAAAAGAAGCGUUACAUGGAAUGGAAAAGAACUUCAAAGUCAAGGAGGAUGGAGCGUAUUAUUUCAUGAACUGGAUUUGGGUCCCUAAACUUGGGGGAUUCAGAGAGGUAGUCAUGAAUGAGGCCCACAAGACACGAUACUCCAUCCAUCCGAGUUCAGAUAAAAUAUACCUGGAUAUCAAGCAACAUUAUUGGUGGCCUAACAUGAAGGAAGAAAUUGCCACUUACGUUAGCAAGUGCCUCACUUACGCUAAAGUGAAGGUAGAAUAUCAAAAGCCCUCGAGACUAUUACAACAACCAAUAAUACCCGAGUAGAAAUGGGAAAGGACCAUGGACUUUGUGACUAAAUUAUCCAAGACAAAUGACGGAUUGGAUGCCAUAUGGGUAAUAGUCGACAGGUUGACGAAAUCUGCCCAUUUCCUACCAAUAAAGGAGACAUACAAGAUGGAACGACUGACGAGAAUCUACAUCAAAGAGAUUGUGAAACUCCAUGGAAUACCAAUAUCUAUCAUCUCAGACCAUGAUAGUAGAUUCACUUCACGCUUUUGGCAGACGGUUCAGAAAGCUAUGGGGACACAACUCGACAUGAGCACUGCUUACCACCUACAAACGGAUGAUCAAAGUGAGUGAACCAUUCAAACGCUUGAAGAUAUGCUUCGAGCAUGUGUGACAGACUUUGGAAGGUCGUGGGAUAUCCAACUGCCUUCAAUUGAGUUUUCGUACAACAACAGUUAUCACACAAGCAUCAAAGUUGCUCCUUUUGAAACAUUAUAUGGGCGUAAAUGUAGAUCACCAUUGUGUUGGGCUGAGGUAGGUGACACUCAGCUAGCAAGAGGGCCGACACCAAACAAUGCAUUAACAGGGCCAGAAAUAAUACGUGAAACGACAGAGAAGAUAGUUCAAAUCAGAGCUCGACUUCAAGCAUCACGAGACCGACCAGAAGAGCUACACUGAUAAAAAACGAAAGUCCUUGGAAUUUCAAGUCGGGGAUCGGGUGUUGUUAAAAGUAUCUCCCUGGAAAGGGGUGAUCACUUUCAGGAAACAGGGAAAACUAAACCAACGGUACAUUGAACCAUUCGAGAUUCUUGCCUGAAUCGGUCCAGUGGCUUAUAGACUGCAGCUACCUGUCAAUCUCAACAGUGUACACCCCGUGUUCCAUGUUUCCAAUUUGAAGAAGUGCUUACCCGACGAAACACUUGUCAUCCCCAUGGAUGAAAUCGAAAUCAACGAGAAUCUACUGUUCGUCGAGGAACUGAUUGAAAUCAUGGACAGUGAAGUGAAGCGUACUAAGCACAGUCAAAUUCCGAUUGUGAAAGUUCGGUGGAACGCAAAGCGUGGACCGAAAUUCACAUGGGAACGCGAAGAUCAGAUGAAGCAAAAGUACCCUCACUUAUUCUCGCACUCUCAGACCUAGUUUCAAAAGAAUUUCGGGACGAAUUUCCCUCUAACGGGGGGUGAUGUCACAACAAGGAAUUCUAAUGCUUUUGUAAACAUUGACAAUGAUGACAUUUGUGACUAAAACUUGAAAACAUGCAUGAUGUUUAUUCAAUGACAACAAAAUUCCAUCAAACACUCUAUGCAAACACUUCAAAUGGUCAACAAAAGAUUGGAAACCCUAAAAAUCCCGGUUUAAUUCCAUUAUGGACUAGGAUUUCCUUAUUGGGCCUAAUGGACCAAUAAGCUUCCAAUUUGACUAUUUUGGGCUUAGGACCCUUAAAUGGGCCCUAAUUGGACCCACUUUCAUGAAACUUAACAUUUUGGGCCAUAAUGCAUCCAAAAUGAAUUGGUUUACCUUAAUGGGACUUAUUGGGCCAUAACUAACCUAAUAAGCUUUCAUGAAACAUAAAUCCAUUCUUUUAUAAAAAAAAAUUGGGAUGUGAACUACACUAAAGGCCCAAUGGGUCGAAAAUCUUGUCCAUAAAACAUUAUAAUCUCGAACCAAGGAUUUAAGUGGGCCAAACUAAUUCAUUCCCUCCUUCCUUUGUUAGGUCAUUUCGGCCCAUGUAAAAAAAAUAAAAUAAAUAAGAAGAAUGAAAGAUUUAUCCAUGCCACCUCAUUUUUACAAGAAGGAUAACCAAGCAUUAUAAUCAACAUAUAUCCAUGCAACUUCUCAUGUCUCCAUGCAACUAUCACUUUAGUUCUUUCUCUCCUCUCUCUUUCUUCUUAUCUUCGGCCGAGGCUACCCACACAUACACAUCACCAUUGCAAAUUACUUCAAACUCUCUCAAUAAAAUCUUCAUGCUUCCUCCAAAUUUUCUAGAAUCAUAAGGGCUUCAAGAAGAAUUUUAUCCAAAAAUCACUUCCAACUACAUACUAGUGGUAAGAUCUUGCAAACAUGUUUAACUUCUACACUUAAUCACUCUUCUUACAACCUUAAAUUCUUGAUCAUACUCCAUAGAACCCUUCAAAUUCGAGGUCUCUUCAAGGAGCUUGUUAGGGCCAAAAACAAUACCAUCUUCUUCCAUUUAUUCUUCAAAACCGUGAGCAACAAAGCAAGGUGAGUUCAUACCCCCUUUUUUCGGUUUUUACUUGUUUUUGGGGGGAGAAUACAAGUGUUAUGUGUUGAUCUAUGUGUGUUUGCAUGUAUUAUGUGAUUUCUUUGAUUUUGGUUGUAAUAAUAUGUUAAUACUUGAGAUAUUUCGAGAUCUAUAGCAAAAGGGUGAAAGAAUCAUAAACAAAAACAUAAUAAACAACAUACGUCAUAGAUCUAAGGGUCCUUAAGUUUAAUAAGUGAAAAACAAAGCCAAAGAUCUUUACAAGUGUCAUUUUGCAAAAAUAACAAAGAUUGGGUAAAAAUUGAUAAUUUUCGGUUUUAUGAGGGUUAUAAGGUAUUUAUUUAUAUAAAAGCUGAUUUUUAUGAAAAUAAUACUUUUCAAAGGGUCAAAAACAUAAAUUUUAGCUUAAUGGGCUUAAAUUUGGGCCUCACGAGUUUUGGGCCCAAAGUUGCAAAAAAUGAAGAAUUUUAGGGGCUGGAGUGGAAAAAUUAACAAACUAUGAGUCUAAAACGUAAAUAAACUAUUUCAGGGGCUGAAAAUGACUUUGAUGCAAAAGUUGGACUAAAAAUACAAAGUUUUUGAUUUUGGGGUAAGAAUUCUAAAACUUACGGAAUUUGAGCCAAAAAUCUAAACUUUUUACAAAUAAAGGGUGGAAAUGACAAAUACACUAGUUUUGGGUUGAAAUUAUUAUUUAAAUAAAGUUUGGGUAAAAAAUGACAAGAAAAAAUGGUUUAAGGACCAAAAAUGUCAAUUUUCAUAAAAAGGGACUAAAGGUGCCAUUUUUAUAGAAAAAGGGGCUGCAAUUGAUAAACUAAAUGUUUUUAAGCCAAAUAGACAAUUAUAAAUUUUUGGGUUAAAAAUAUCAAGUUUAUAACGCAUGGUUAUAUAUAUAUAUAUNNNNNNNNNNNNNNNNNNNNNNNNNNNNNNNNNNNNNNNNNNNNNNNNNNNNNNNNNNNNNNNNNNNNNNUAUGGGAAAAGGGAAUAUAUGGCUGUUAUGUAUGUAUGCUUGGGUAUAGAACCUUCUAAUACGACAGCGUUUUGUAAAAAAAAAUUAAAAACUUGUUCAUAGAUUAUGCGGGUUUUUUCCAUGCAUACCGUUUGUUUCCUUCUCCACUCAUCUGAAACCCUAAAUCUUCAAAUCGUGGUUCUCCAUCCACAAUCAAAUUGAUUUAAGGUAAAAACUUUUUCUCCUCUACUGCACAUGAAAUUUCUGUUUUGGUUUAGUUGAUUCGGACUAAAAUGCAAUCAGCAUAUAAAAAAAACUUGUUUUUUUAUCAUUGUCGUCAAAAGAUUCUAUCAAUUUAAGAAAAAACACACUACAUGAUAUUUAAUUGAUUUCUUUAACAAAACAAUAGCUAAAAUCUAACGCAGUCAUCAUAAUUUUUAAUUGGUUUCUUUAGCUUUAAUUGGUUUCAGACAAUUAGUACAAACACUAAAAUUAAAGCCUUUAGUUUUGUAAAUCUAAAACGGAGAUAACAAUUAAUUACAAUUAAAUUUUCGUCUUCAAGUAGAUCAAUUAUAAAACCAAUAAUUUAAGAGUGUGUUCUAGUUCCAUGAAAGAAAUUAGAAAGAAACGAAAUUAACUCUUAGUAAUUUUUAACUUGUCAAUGUUUAUGCAUUAUGGGUUUGUAACUUUGUACUGAUUUUUUUUAUCCCUUGUGUGUGUGCUACAGGACAUGCAUAAUACCAUGGAUUUAGAAUUUCAAGAAUCUAAUGAGCCAUUACAAACAUAUGCAACUUAUGUUGAUGCUGAUGAGCAAUUACAAAGAGAUGCAUCUUAUUUUGAUGUUGAUGUUAACCUUGGACAUGAUGGAGAUGAAAGUAACGAUGAAGGUAUAAAUCAAAUGUUAAGAUAUUUUUAACAUUGCGAAUAAACAUUUAGCAUACAACAAAUACCAACACUACGAACUUAAACUCGAUAAACCAUAAAUGAUUCAAUGAUUGGGCCCAAAAGCUUCUGCUCGUGCUAUUGGGUCUUUGUGGCCCAAUAUCAUGAUUAUUGGGCCCAAUAUAUUCAAACAUGUUUAUUGGGUCUUGGUGAUCCAAUUACAUGCCUAAUGGACCUUCAAUGGCUUUUACAUGCUAUUGGGCCUUAAUGCCCCAUUUGCAUUUGCUAGUAAGGUUCAAAUCAAUCAUAUGCGUGAUGGGCUAACGUGUCCGCCGUAUACUCGACAACCUAUAAUAACAUACAUGAUUAGUGGAUCUUUGCAGCCCUCUUCUCUUCGUCUGUUAGGCUUACCUUUUAUUCAAGUAAACAUAAAUCAAGUUGUAAACAAGGUUAUACAAUUUCAGUUGGAUUUAGUGGGAAAUAACGGGUGACACUAAUAAGUGUCGGUCGUAGUCGGUAGUAUAACCAGAGUCUCCUGGAGGUAGAGCGAGAGUUUGUGUAUAGAUCUAUACGGGGGUGACUCCCCCACACCUGAGUUGUUCGCUACAGUUAGACUCGACCAGUCUAGGGUGACAAAAUCUUGAUCAAAACCGGCGUUUGGAAAAAUGCCAAGACAGGCGAAUUAGUCAUUAUUAUGCAUGGUUAUAACGACUCACAUAGAGAUCCAACACCAUCUAAGUAAUCAUGGGAAAACAUAUUCAUUUGUUGUGACGAUACAAUAAUACAAAACUAUCAUACUACUUAUAUCGGGAAACAUCGGGUUUUCCAGGGGAACAACAUUAUGCACUCCUACAUACAACACUAUAAUACAAUAAUCAAACAAUCACUUUUACUUGUUUUGAAAUCACAUAUAUAUGCACUUAUAGGAUCAUCGCAUCUUUUUCGCAAACGGUUUUUGAACAGAAAAUAUUGGAUUUUCUGGGUUUUACAAACAAUACAAACUAAUUUUAUAUCAAACAUGAUUAUGAACUCACUAACAUUAUAUAUGUUGACGUUUUCAAAACAACUUGUAUUCUCAGGUAACAGAUAAGCUGAAGAAAGUUACCAAGUAUGUUAGGAUGUUACGUUUUGUGACUCUCAAACAAUUUAUGGUAUCGAUAUGUAAUAUUUAAACAAUGUACUUGAUGUGAACAAUGACAGUUGUACUAUGUAAUGUUGGUGAUAUAUGUGUUUGUUCAUGUAUAUUCAUUGAGAUGGUAUUUAAUUGAUAGUCACACGAGCCUUCGGACGUUUCCGCCGUCUGGUUCGAGGGUGUAACAAGGAUGUAUGGUUUUAUAAAGGUAUUGAAAGGCUCACAAUUUUUAAACGAUUCAACCCAUUGCUUUCUGUUUUUUCAUGCCCAAAUACUUGUGAAACUUCUUCUCUGGCACGCUCUUGCCAAUUUGUGUGCUGAGCCAACAAAAACAUAGUGCAAACUAGUAAGAUUCCAAUAGUCUCUUGUCCAGCAAAGUAGAAAAGCUUACACUCAUCGAUUACUUCAUCAAUGGUUAAUCCAGAAUUCUUAUACCCAUGUUUAAUUUCUCUGUAAUUUGAUUCCAAGAGUAUUCCCAACAAGUCAUCUUUACUCCUUUCUACAGCUUUCAUUGCGAUUGUUCGUUUGUCAAUGAUACUCCUUAUGGUAGCCCUCACUUCUCGGUCAAUUUUCUUUAUCCUGUUAUUGGUUUUUGUUGGCAAAAACCUGGUAUUUAUGUGUGAAUUAUAUUAGAUCGUCUCUUGAUCAAGAGAAAAACAAUGUAAUAAAAUAUUUUUCGGAAAGAUAAACACCUCGAUCCAGGAAUGUAGAAUGAUUGUAUAGCGUCUAUAACUAACACUGCUAGUUCCCGUUGUAGCUCAAAUAUUAUAUUCCCUUCUUCAAUGUUACUACCUAAUGUUGUACGUGAAAUAACUUCACUGGAUAACAUUUCACUACAAGGAUCGAGCACUAUGCAGACAAAUGAUAAUAAUAACAAUAGAAAAAGGUCCCAACCUUUCAUAUAGUAUAUACAAGUUUUCAGCAUUAGAGACAUCAAAUAAAGUCAGUUUAAUGGUAAAGGUAUUGCCCUUGACAUCCAAAGGUCGCACCUACGAAUAAUGUAAUCCCCAAGAGUGUGUUUUUCAAACAAGCUUAAAAAGUUGGCCUGUUUGCCAUGUAUGUAACUAACUUGUUUUUUUUUUGAACGACCAUGUUAGUAUUUGUCUGGGAUUGAACCCAAGACCUCCUGCUUAGAAACCCUAGUUAGACACUUUGUAUGUAAGCAACUUGUAACCGACAAAACCUCCUAAAAAGCUAUAAACGAAAAAAAUUAAACAAAACUUCUGUAAGCAACUUGUAACCGAGAAAACCUGCUAAAAAGCUAUAAAUGAAAAAAUUAAACAAAACUUUCGAUGUUACUGAACCUAAAAUAGGUCAAAGGGUAAAACCAAAGAUUUUAUAAAAACUUAAUGACUUUUAUUUCAUUAGCCCUAUUACCCAAAAGCUUGUUUUUUAAACAAGCUUAAAAAGCUACCAUUUCUGGCUCAACGCCAUGUCCGCCGAUUGAGCCUAGUCCGCGUCGACGUGGUUUGCCACGUCUUUAAGCAACUUGUUGUAACCGGAAAAACUUGCAUGCUAAAAGGGUAUAAACGAAAAAAUUAAACAAAACUUGCAGUUUCACUAGACUGAAAAUACAUCAAAAGAUAAAACCAUACAUUUCUCGAAAACCUAAAGGCUUUUAUAUUAUUAGCCAUAUUUACUAACAUGUAACCCAAAUGUAAAAGCAAGAACCAAAAGGUUGCACGUGCCCAUUAUUAUGCCAAUGUAUGAAUCUGAGGAAAAAAAUUUAAAAUCAUACGUAAAAAAAUGGGAAGUAAGAAUAAUAAUGUAAAAGAUUUGAACAGCUUACUAAAAUAAUUAAAACAAAAUAUUUAAAUAUUAAAUAUAAAUUGCAGCUAAUAAUAUAAUAAUUAUAUUAAUAUAAUGAUUAAUAAAUAAUAAUCAGUAAUAAUUAAAAUAAAAAAUGUAUAUAUAAGAAACGUAAAAUUAACUAUUAAUUAUUAAUAAUUUACUUUUACAAACUACAAUUAAUUAAUUAUUAGUAUUUAAUUUCGCAAUCUGCUGAUAAAAUAAUUAUUAAAAAGAUUUGAUAAGUAAAAAUGCGAUUAGAUAUAUUGGAAGCCAAGACAAAACUGCAUAGACAAAGUUCAGGAAAUGAGCAAGAAGGUAGGAGUUCUUAGGCGGCUAUAGCUAACAACUGCGCGCCACACUCUUUUCUUACCAAUUUCCUUUACUCAGACUAUAUCGUUGACUAUAAUAAUUAGUCAAUAUUUGAACAAACCAUUGGGGAAUGAUCGUGUAUAAAUAGAUCCUUCAUAAAUGGUUACUCACACAUUCAUAUUCUUUCAAUCAUUGAAAAAAAUGGCUAUAAUCUUAAAAAGAGGAAGACUUACCUUGGCUCUUAUCAUCCUCAUCGUCAUUAGUUCAUCAUCUCACAUCAUUACAACCACCGCCACUGCUCGGAUUCCGUACAACCAUGUCCGCCAACUAGGUUCGGUUUUCUCUAAACCUCUCACAGUUAAUAAUAAAAAAACACUAAUAGAAGUUGCUCCAGUAUUUCUUAUAAAGUAACUAAAGUUGCAUUGUAAAUUCGUGUAGUUAAACUUUUUUUUUUAUAAGGAGUUGUAGCGUUAAUUAUAUUCUUCUGAUUUUGUUUUCUAUAUUUAUUUCAUUCGUGUAUUUAGUAUCAAUAGUCUAUAGCUAACUAAUCUGAUAUCCAUUCAUCACGGAUUUCCAGAUUUUCUGAUCAAACUAACCUUAUAUAAGAGUGCAUAUACAACUUGUCCUUCCCUAAAUAUUAAAAAUAUAAUUAGAAAUUGAUGUAUGCAGCUACAAAUUGCGAUUAUGACCCCAUACAACAAAAUGAUGGACCCGACGGGUGUGGUAGUGGAAGUGGAAGUGGAAGUGGAAGUGCAUCACCAAAACCAAAACCAAUACCAUGCGGUUCAAUGCCAGGUAGGAGCCUUUGUAGGAAGGGUUGCUGUGGGAAGACUAAAAUGGGAAGAGCCGAAUGUUGCUAGUAGUACGGAGGUUGUACUACAUCAAAUAAUGUAUCUGAGUCCCUUGUUUAGAUCAGAAAAUAAUAUUUCAAAUCAUUUCCACCCUCUGCUUUUCCUUAAAGUUGUCUAUGUAUGAGUAUGUAUGUCCACAAAAAUUUUAUAUCCAGAUAAUGUUGUUCGAAUUAAUCUCGAAGAAAUGAUUCUAUCAUUAUAUUUGUCAAGAUGGUUCACAAGUUUAGUAGAAGAAAACAAAAAUCAAACGUGGCUAUCUAA